CGGCCACAGCCCGGUUCCCGGACUAGGCCUGCUUCUCGCAGGGCCUGCUCCUGGGAGGCGAAACUCCACACUGAGGGCGCGGAGGUGGUUUCAGACCGCAGCGCCCGGGCUCCUCCUCCCGCGCUACCCAGGGAGGCGGGCUGUGCUCUUUUCAAGGUCCCGCCAAAGGGCCCCGCCCUCCCGGAGGGAGACCUAGCAGCCUUCCUUCCUACGCCAGGCCGGGGACCGCCGGACCGGAAGCUGCGGGGUCUCGGGGCCCCGGUUCGUUCUCGCCUAGCCGCAAGCCGCGGGUGCGCAUGCUCCGCGAAGGCCCGCACAGGGCCCGGGUGAACCCUGAUAGAGCCAUCGCGAGGCGGGGUUAUUGCUGGAAUGGUGGUGGUUUGGGGAACUCUUUUUUGGUGAGACGGUCAAGUGGGAAGGUGCACCCCGUUUCCAGUGGACUCCCACUUGGUGCUGGCUUGGCUUCCUGGAAAGAGAGUGAAAAGUCAGAGCCUAAGAGCUGCCCCUGAACUCCACAGCCUUCACCUCGCCUCUUCCUGUUUGGAAGACCCAGGUCCAGUUAGCGCCGUCCUGCUUCCCAACUAGGAGCCCGUCCACUGACGCGGCAUGCCGGAUCUUAGUUCCCUGACCAGGGAUUGAACCCAUUGCCCCCUGCAGUGGAAAAGCGGAAUCUUAACCACUGGACCGCCAGGGAAGUCCCAAGAUUUUCUAAGUCUCAUGUGCAGGUUUCAGGAGGAUGCCUCUGGUUGCCAUGUAACAACCAGCAACAAGACAGAGUGAGCAUACAGAGACAGGGGAACCCAUCAGAAUAACACAGGAUGAGGUGAUGGAGGCUGCGCAACACGUUGGCGAUGGAGAAGAUGGACGAUGGGACUGAUCGAAGAGCAUCUGAGUGGUAGAAUCUGUAAGUGAACGUUGGGAUGUGGGGUGAAGAGGGAAGGACGUAUAAAGAUGGCUCGCAGUUAUCUUGCUUAAGCAGCUAGGUAGAUGCAGGUGCCACUUACCAUAUGGGAAGAGUGGAGACAGCACAUAUUUGGGGCUGGGAGGGGAGCCAAGAGUUCAGCUGUAGAUAUGUUAAGUUUGAGAUACCCAGGCUAUAACAGCAUCAGCAUCCCUUCCCUCCUGUUUAGCAAUAGAAGCCCACUGCCUAUCCCCCCGCCCCAGCCAGUGUUUCUGGUUGGGCUAUCACAUAUACGGCCUCACUUCCCCAAGCACGCCAAAGGGCGUGACUCAGGCUGGCCAGUCAGAGCACUCACCCCCCUGGACACAAAGGUUGGUCCUUGGGUGAGCACACAUGGGGGACACUGAAGGAGAGAGGAUUGCACUCUUCUCUGAGUUUGUGAGCUGUAAGAAAAUGUAGGGCUGGCACUGUCAGUGGCAUCAUUCAGUCAGAAAAUUAAACCAACACAGGAAAGACAGAUCAGGAAAUGGAGAGAGACAACUCUGGUAACAUCAUUUGAACCUCUGGGUCCAUCCGUGCCUGAAGGUAGAUCCUCUCUUUGAUCCAAUACAUGACCUCAUAAAAUCUUUUUUCCCCCUAGGAGCUAGUUUGAAUACUUUUGCAGGUGACUGAAAGAGACAAUCCAAUAAGUCUAACACAGCAGCCAAGAGAUGUCAGGUGGGGCUUCUGGAGCAAAGACAGAUGCAGAAAUGGAGGAAGCCAGGUUCUGAGGAGGGACAGACAAAUGAGACAAUGGCUAGAGAAGGACACGGAAUCAAGGGACACAUGGCAGAGACUCCCAAAUGACUCCAAAUGACUUCACUUUUGCUUUCUUUCUCGAGUUUUUACCUUCCAGGUAGGUGCAACCGUGUGGCUAAGUCUGGUUAAAGGGAUGUGAGUGGAAGUACUGUGUGGGCUUUUCCAUUUCCCACCAGGCAAACCUGGUGAUGAGAACCUUGGGAGCUCUCGUGGACUCUGUAGCCUUGGACACCAGUGGACACUGCCUGAUACCCCAUCUAAAACCGAGGCCCUCCUUCCCCCAACUGCCAGGAACACUGUCCACUCACAGCUCAGCUGAAUCUUUCCCCAGAAACUGCUUUGCCCAAAGUUAUGCUUCCUCCCUGGGAGUAUCAAAAGGGGGCCCGUAUCCAAUGACUUGUGGGGUAACAAACCUAGUUCCUUGCUUUAAUUGAGACAACUGUGAAGGCCACCCCAGCACCAGAGCUCCUCUGGGAUUGGCUGAGUCCUCUGUUGUGACUGCAUCACAGCUCAGCUCUGCCCUUUGCCCAGUGUUACCUCCAUCACUCCCCCUGCCAUCAGGGUUCACUCCCCAGUAGAACACCUGGCUGCAAAUCUGUCUCAGAGUCUGUUUCCUGAGUAAUCCAACCUCUGACAGAAGCUGUCUUAGACUGUGUGCUGGAAGCAACAUGUUGAAAGUAGUGAAGUAAAAAGAUACAAGAAACCUGAGUCCUCCAAAACCACUAAACCCCCGUAUCAGCCCUGAACCAUCAAGGUACAUGAGAGAAAAAACAACAACAACAAAAAAAAACCCUUCUACUUUGUGUAAGCCAGUGUAGUUUGAGGCCUUUGUUACAGUAGUCUAAACUAUAUUCUGAUUAACAUAGAAUUUGACAUCCAGAAGUGGAAUGUCGGAUGUGGCAGAAUUUUAAACAUGAGGCGUUGUGCGGUGAGCAGAUAUGUCAGGUUGGAAAGCUGGUGACCCGUGCUAUGCAAAACAGUUGGUAACACUAUCUCCUCUGAUAUCUUGGAAGACAGUUCACGUGCCUACUGAGCCUCUAGUUCUAGAGGAAGUGGUUAGAAAAGGUGCAAGUGUUGGUGGGUAGUCUUCUCCCCACAUUUAUAGCAAGGUCCUGGAAGAGAGAAACACUCAGAAGAGAGACAGCAGUUUGCAAGCAUAGAUGAAAAUAAACAGAGCUCUGUUCAUGGAGAUUCUUCCUGCCUGUGGCCAGUAAGGUAAGUUGACUAAGAAUCCAGUAUUUGGAAAGGUGCUGAGGAAGUCAACUGCUUUUGCACCCCAAACUGAGGAAGUGACGUGAAGGAGCCCUGAAGAGGCAGCUUUCCCAGGAGACAAGACUGUGGCCCAAGCCUUUCCCAGUUAGCUCCAGUUAGGAACACCCUGCCCGACAAUGGGAGUCAGUUCAACAGCCCAGAGCAGAUUCAGGGUGCUGCCUUUCCACACAGGCCUACUAGGUUAGGUAACCUCAUAAACUAUUAUAAAGUCAAGACAGGGUAGGAUGGGCAGAGUAUAGAGGCUGGGAAAUAAAUGUGCGUAAAAAUGUCUUCAGGUUUAAGAACUAUGUCUGCUCCAGCUUUUUUGGCUGGGUUACUUGCUUAUGGAACAGAUUAGAAACAAAUAGACUGUAGUCAUACUAAUUUUUUAAAAAUAGUUUUAGGGACUUCCCUGGUGGCGCAGUGGUUAAAAAUCCGCCUGCCAACGCAGGGGACACGGGUUUGAGCCCUGGUCCAGGAAGAUCCCACAUGCCACGGAGCAACUAAGCCCAUGCGCCUCAACUACUGAGCCUGCGCUCUAGAGCCUGCGAGCCACAACUACUGAGCCCGUGUGCCACAACUACUGAAACCUGUGUGCCUAGAGCCCGUGCUCCACAACAAGAGAAGCCACCACAGUAAGAAGCCCGCAUACUGCAACCAAGAAUAGCCCCUGCUCACAGUAACUAGAGAAAGCCCGCACGCAGCAACGAAGACCCAAUGCAGCCAAAAAUAAAAUAAAUAAAUUUAAAAAAAUAGUUUGGGCCUUCCCUGGUCGCGCAGUGGUUGAGAGUCCACCUGCCGAUGCAAGGGACACGGGUUCGUGCCCCGGUCCAGGAAGAUCCCACAUGCCACGGAGCGGCUGGGCCCGUGAGCUAUGGCCACUGAGCCUGCGCGUCCGGAGCCUGUGCUCCGCAACGGGAGAGGCAACAACAGUGAGAGGCCCGGGUACCACAAAAAAAAAAAAAGUCAAUGUUUAAUCCAAGAUCAUGAAGUUUUAUAUUUUUCUUUCUUACAUUUAGGUCUAUAAUCAACUUUGAGUUAAUUUUUAUAUGUGGUGUGAAGUAGGGAUCUGAUUACAUUCUUUUGAAUAGGGAGAUCUAGUUGUCCCAGGACCAUGCUUGAAAAAGACUAUUUUUUCACCAUGUGUCAAAGUCUCCAUGUCCAGAGUCUCAAUUCUGUUCCAUUGACUUAUGUGUCUAUUCUUAUGCCAGUACCAUGCUGUGUUGAUUAAUGUAGUUUUGCAGUAAGUUUUGAAAUAGGGUAGUGUGAGUCUUCCAAAUUUGUUCUUCUUUUUCAAGACUGUCUUGGCUAUGCUGGGCCCCUUGCAAUUUUAUAUGAAUCUUAGAUACAUUUUCAAUUUCUGCAAAAAAGGCAGCUGGAAUUUUAAUAGGGAUUUCAUUGAGUCUGUAGGUCAUUUGGGGGAAUAUUACCAUCUUAACAAUAUUGUGUUCUAAUCCAUGGACACAGGAUGACUUUCCAUUUAUUUAGUUUCUCUUCAAUUUAUUUUAAUGAUGUCUUAUAGUUUUCAAUGUACAAGGCUUGUUCGAUUUAUUCCUAUUUAAUUCUUUUCUAUAUGAUUGUACAUUGAAUUAUGUUUUGUAUUUCACUUUUUAAUGUUAUGCUAAGUUUUUGAGGGUAAGUCAUUGGCAAAAGUCUACAAGGCUGGCCAGUACAACUCUAGAAUUGCUCAACUCCUAAAGCAAGCUGUGAGCUCCCAAACCUGCACCGGCAGGAAACAGGCUGUGAACACUGCACCCUCACCACCCAGAAGGGUAUAUUCUCCAAUGCCCUUUUCAGAUGUGGCCCUGGAGGACAACAGGUAGACAAAGAAAUACUGCCCCGAAAGCAGAGCCAAGAGCCACAGAGAAUGUUUUCAGGUAUUCAAUACCAAAGAACGUUCUCCUCUCUGAGAUAGGGAACCCUUGGAAUUCCUGCCCAGUGCGAUCUGUUAAUUGCUAUGUUCCUGCUAUGUGUUUUCUAUUUUUCCCUCUCCAAAUGGCAGAUUAAUUGGGGUUAUCCUGUUCUGCCUUAUAGAGUAUAUGUGUAUGUGUUGCUGGUUGGUAAAGGGGAACAAAUAGAUAACUUGGUUUUUAGUUUGUAUGUCACCAGACCAACAUCUGAACUUCAUAUAAAGAUCUGACAAUUGUCAGGAAGGCCUGGGCUCUGAGCUGGUUGCAGUCAUGGAUGAAACCUUGUGGGUUUGGGCUUGGGAAGGGGAUUAGCAUGUUGCACGUGUGAGAAGAAAGCGUGCAUUUAUUUGGGCGGUCAAAGGUGCAGAGGGUGAUAGAGAUCGCCAGCUUUCCCUCAAUAGCCAUUCUCCUCUUCUUCAAUAGUGAUGGAAUCUUUAAGUGGACACAUUGCUGCCCAACGAAGACCAUAUUUCUUAAGUUCCUUUGCCACUAGUUGUGUUUUUUGACCAAGUCUGAGGGCAAUACCUUGUGAUUGGACAUGUAUGCAACUUCCAGGCCGUGUCCCUCAAAGGAAGUAGCCUUAUUUCCUCCUUCCUCUUUUCCCCUUUCCUUCUGGCUGGGAGGUUGAAGUGCUGGCUAGGGCUGGGGCGUCCAUCUUGGAGAGAAGCUGCAAGUUAAGGAUGGCAGAGCAACAGAUAGAAGAAGUUACCGUAUCACCCCUACACUGCCUUCCUAGGCUUUUCAUGUGAGAGUCAACUUCUACCUUUGAGACAGUCUUUGGGGAUUCCUCUGUUACAGCAGCCUAACGUUAUCCUAACUAAUACAGAAAGUUUAUCUGUUUUUUUCCUUUUUAUUUCCGGCCAUGCCGCAUGACUUGCGGGAUCUCAGUUCCCCGACCAGGGUUUGAACCCGGGCCACGGCAGUGAAAACGCCGGAUCCUAACCACUGGACCAUCAGGGAAUUCCCAGUUUAUUUGUUUUUAAGAUGGGAGAGACUAGAGCAUGUUGUGUGCUCGUGGAAAUAACCCAUUAAGGAGGGAGAGAUUGAUGAGGAAAGAGAGUGGGGAGAUAGGCGAAGGAAAAAAGCCCUUGAGAAGAUGAGAAGCAAUGGGAUUCAGGGAACAAGAGAUGGAAUUUUUCUUUCACUGAAAAACUGGGACGCUUCUUCCAUUGUAAUGAGGCAGACACGGGGAUAUCUGUGAAUUUAGUGGUGGGAAGGUGAGGGAGGUUCAAUAUAAUUGCAAGAGAGUAAAGCCAUGAUAACCCAUGGAAUCUUGAUUUCAUUGGACUCCUCCACACAUCCUUUGUUCCCUGACUCACUCAUCGUUGAUCCACUUGUGCUAUAUAUAUAUUUUUUAAUAAAUAAAUUAGUUUAUUUAUUUUUGACUGUGUUGGAUCUUCAUUUCUGUGCUAGGGCUUUCUCUAGUUGCGGCGAGCGGGGGCCACUCUUCAUCGCGGUGCGCGGGCCUCUCACUAUCGCGGCCUCUCUUGUCGCGGAGCACAGGCUCCAGACGCGCAGGCUCAGUAGUUGUGGCUCACGGGCCUAGUUGCUGUGGGAUCUUCCCAAACUAGGGCUCGAACCCGUGUCCCCUGCAUUGGCAGGCGGAUUCUCAACCACUGCGCCACCAGGGAAGCCCUCGUGCUAUAUUUUUAAUUCGUUAUUUGUAAUGAUUAAAUAGGCUCCUGCAGAACCACCACCCAAACCAAAGCCUUGACAAUGACCCACAUCUUUCCAUACGAUUCCUCCUCGCCAUCCCAGCCCCCUACCUCCCCCAACCCACAGUAACUAUCAUCCUGAAGUCUGUGUACCACAUUCCCUUGAUGUCCUUUUUAUAUAGUUUUAUUGCAUCUACAUAUAUUUCCAAAAAUUAUACAUUUUAUAUUAAUUGUUUUUAACCUCAUUAAAAGGGUAUUGCUCUCCACGCAAUCUUUGGGGACUUACCUUUUUUACUUAAUUGUAUAUGGCUAAGAUUUAUUCACAUUGUUUUACUUUGCUGUGGCUCAUUUAUUUAACCUGCUUUGUGAUAGUCCAUUGUGUGAACAUCCCGCAGUUUAUUCAUCCACAAACCUUGGACUCUAAGCUGGGAGAGGAGAGAAGUGAAGGCAGGAGGGGGCUGAUGGAUAGAGACAAAGUGAAGGAAUCAGUGGACUGGAGAGUUCUAUGAGGCCAGAGACCUGUGGCAGGGCCACCUGGGCCAGGAAGCAGAAAGGCUUGGAGGCAAUGGAUGGAUGGUUGGAUAGUGGAAGGUGAGAAGUUCUGAUUUCAGAAGUAAGGCUUUGGGUGGCCAUAAGGUCUUCAGGGCUAAAUGUGGCAAUGGAUAGCUAAGGCGGGAAUUAUUGGAGAUGUAGGUGAUGGAAGCAAGAGGUCAGAGUGUGGAUAUAGGUCUUUCCAUUUGUCUAGGAUAGUGGCAGGAGGGGGUACAGGAGAAGAUGAGGAGGCUGGAACAUGGGUCUUCACUGGGGGAGGGAGCAAGCCUGGGAGGCUGGGAGAUGACAGGGCCGAGGAGGGAGGAUGGCAUAGCUGGAAGCAGCAGUGUCAAUGGUUCAGGGCUUUACAAGAGGAUGGGAGUAAUGGGCUGGAAAUGACCAUGAGGAAUAAUACGGACAACUCCAUCUUUUCACCCUGAGGUGCAGAGAAUGUGAGACUAAACAUCCUCCACCUGAGAGGGCUGCUGGGAGGUGGUAGCUCAGGGCCAGGAGGAGAAGGACGCAUUCCAAGAAGAGGCUGAAGAUCUAGGAGAGAGCGCUGCCUGUGGUGCAGGAGCUCCAGGGCGUGUCGUGUGAGAGCAGGGGGAGGGCAGAUCGCAGGGGAGGGCAGGCAGGCGUAUCAGGGCUCAGCCGAGGCAGGCGAGGAAGCCGUGCU